ACCACCACCAUCACCACCACCACUACCACCACCACCAUCACCACUACCAUCACAUAACCAUUCUACUACCGUCGCUGCUAUUAUCGUUAAUUGGACGGUUGCGCGACUGAAUCGAGAUGGAGAGAAUGAAGCUGCUUUUCCUCUGGCCAAUCGAGCUGAUCUCUUCGAUAAAUAGGCGGACUCGCUGACGACGAUUCAGACACUUACUCCUCGGUGUAGUGAAAUUCUAUAGCAAUCUCAAUACCGUUGCGAUUAGAAUUAACUUGACUAUGUGUUACGAUGAAAGCGUGGUCAAUUAUCGACUUUACUUAACUAACUCUGUGCUCAGAAAACUUGAUACGUUGACGCCAGACUUUUAUUGAGCUUUGUUAGCAGCUGCCAGCUCUUUCUUUUAGUAGAGUACAUUCGGAAAAUGACUAAUAAACGAUACAUUCUGCGACUAAUGUAAAAGCUCUCUCGGCAAAAAUUCAGUUGUUCAUUCAAUCUCUAGUCAAGACUGACUUUUUUGUAAUUGAUACAUUCAAUGAUGAUGAAAUUCCCACGUAAACUUUCACUCAGGUCAGUCGAUACAGCUCUAGCCAUUGGUAACCAUCUUCUUAGAUGCGCCUCACACGCAUCUUGCAGUUUCAUUUAAUUCAUGCCCUUCCCUCAUUCUCAUAAACAGGCUGAUGAAUAUCCCUUGUGGCCUUGAGCCACUGAUAGAAGUCAAGACGUUAGCGAAUCCACUUACCUACUUACUGAAUAAAUCCUCUCGUUUAGCCAAGAAAAGUGACCUCGUGCUAUUAGAUUAUUGCUACUAUUGUCAUGAUUACAUUUCAUCUUGUUGCUCUGUCCACUAUCCACUACUAUUACUAUUUACUAUUGCUACCAUUACUACUAUUAGGUACUACGAUUACUAUUAUUAUAAUGAUUAUCCUUCAUUAUUUUAUUUUAUUUUAUUAUCAUUAUUGAUAUUAUUAUUAUGUUGAUCAUCUUUAUCGUCAUUAUCAUAGUCGUUGGCCCAUGAUUGUCAUCGUUUUUCCAUUGCCGUUAUCAUCAUCAUUAUUCCCAUUAUCCUCACCCGCGUUUAUUAAUUACGUUGUUAUCGAUGUCAUCAAUGUAUUGACACGUCGCUGUUGACUGAGAACGGUCGUCGGCCGUGACGGCGGCCAAGACGUUUCAGUGUCGGGAAACCGGAUCACAUCCGCAUUACAUAGGAGUAAGAAGGAAUUGACGUACCGACGUUGAGAGAACUUGUUUGUGCCUACGACUCUCUUCUUGUAACACGGCGACGCUUUUUAAUACACCGCUGUGUCGUGCGAUGGAUACACGUUGGCGACUCGUCGUGCGAUCGCAUGUAUAUCUGUGAAUUAUAACGAAUUGAAGCUACCGCAGAUCUCAUUGUAUUCACAGCCCUGCAGGAUGAGCGAGCGUAGCGUGUUCCCGAAUCUGUUGCGUAAUCGAGACUUCGAUUGUCGCCAAGUCUGAUUAUAAAUCCUCUUGAAAGGCAUGAAACUGAAAAGAACGGGAAAACGACGAUCGCGGGUGCCACUGCCCGGCCCUCGGGGCAAUGGAAUUGAGACGUCGGAUAUCUGUAAAUAAGCGCUCUCAUUUUGCCCUCAUCGCGUCCACGGAUCAUAAAGUCAUGCGCUUCACGAAAACGCGAGAGUAUAUAGCGCUGUGUAUAAAGUGAAAGUUCGUGCUUUCCCGAUUGUACUAGGUAUUUUUCUUUUUUAUUUUGAUCUUUUUUUUUAAUCCACCGUCCAAGUGAAUGAUUGAUUCUGAUGCAUUGGAAUAUUUAUAUUAGAGGUAACUUGUAGCAUGUACGAGCCUUCCGUAUAGUAAAUGACUUUUAUAUAACUUUAAUCUUGAGUUACAUAUUAUAGAGGAUGUGAAAGAGCAGUUUUAUGGCAUAUUAAUUGAAUAAACGCUCUCGAGAUAAUACUGAGCAUCGUGUCCGUAACUAAAAGUCCGUACUAAAGUCUAAACUCAUCCCAGUGCGUUAAUUGUCGAAAUGGUUUCUUACACUGCCUAUGUUUUUCACGAGAAUCAAUGGAUGCACGAUAGUUCAUAGUAAUCACUUGUACGGAUCGUAGCCAAUAUAUAUUAAGGAAUGUUUCGCUGUGAGUUCCUUCAAUGAAACGCGAAAUGUCUCUUUGAAUACCGUGAUCACGAUUAACGUUCGUGUUAUUAUUUAUAACAAUUGCCCAUCCGCCCGCCCGCUGCGUAAUUUUUUAAAUACGGUGACGUAAAUCGCGCACAGUUUCUGUGCUACAUUUUUUCAAAGCAAUACCAUGGGUUUCGGUUUCGUGCCUUCCAAAGCGAAAUUUCAUGUGAGAAAGUGAUCAAUCACGAUGAACAGUUGAAACAAUUACAUUUUACAUAACAUAUCGCUGAAGUAAGGUUUUUUCUGUCUGUAGACUCUAUAGCCGUAUAUAAUGAAAAUUUAGUAACGCGUAAAUGCGAGGAAAUUAUGUGACAUAGCCGAAAUUAUAUGACAUUGCAGUCAAUCUCGUGUUCCACCACCAGUGUGUAUCGAUAAAAAAAAGAAAAGGGAAAAGAAAAAAAACGAUAAAAGGAACAGAAAAGAGAAGCGUUUCUUUCGAUAUGAAUUAUCCUCUGCGAAAAGAGUGCGACGUUCGCGUAUAGCUCUUGUUUCAUGAUCCAGGCGCGUUUUUUUAUUAUUAAAGAGGACAUUGACGAGCAAACGAGAAGGAGAUCUCGCAGGGAGGAUUGAUCCGCACAAUUUCUUUUGGGAGGUAACGAGCCUACGGGCCCGAGUUCACCACUGCGGACAUACACAUUUACACAUUGCACACACAUAUACACAUACACUUUCCGACUUAAUAUCCCAUUCUUCGAGUGAUUUCCAACUGCGUUUGUGUGUUCCCCUCUUACGAUCGAGACUGGCCGUAUUGCUCUUCGUAGGAAGACAGGUGCCAUUUUAUCAUGAAGAAGGAGAAGAAGAGAGGAAGGAGAGAGUCGGGUGUGUCCACGCCAAGAUUCUAUUUCGAUGUUCUUGAUAUGAAAACCUACGUCAUCGGAAUAAAUAACGAAAGCUGGAACCGAAUGUACGUGAUCUUCAUCGAGACGGAUCGAUCUCGAAUGCGAAACAGAAGGGAUGAAUCAUCGAGUACGGUGUACAUGCAAUAACGUAAAGAUUCGCCGUAACAAACUCUCUCUGCUGCGAACACAUUUAAUCCGCUAUUUUUCAUGAUGCAACGAGGAGAGCCUUAUGUCGCGAGGCGUUUCUAGGGAUUUGUACAAAGUGGCAUGCGAUUUUUCUGCUAAUGGCUCGCGACGAAAAAUUUAAGCGAUCAAGAGACAAACUAGACGAAAAUAUGUACGAGAACCCGGAGAGCAUGGAAAGCGAGGAUCUCAUCAGCCGCAUUGAUCAGACCAGCAAGAACACACGGUAAACGGCGAGUCGAGCGAGGAGUAGGAGCGCGGAGGUGACAAAUACUAAGGAGCUUGCGUUACGUCCAAUGGUCCACACCCACACCCACGCCAAAUCUUGGCCGAUCCCGACUUCGUCAUCGCUCCCGAGAUGUAUAUGCACAUACGUACCGUACUAUGUGUAAUACGCCCCGUACACCACGUUGUACCCACGUUGAAUAUCUUAAAUACCCAGCGAGCGCGUCCGACAACAGGAAGCCCAUGUACUUACGGAGCUAUCUCGCGUACUCGAACCGUACGUGCUCUCGUGCGAUCAAAGGCAAACGGGAGAGACGGGGGAGAGGGAGAGAGCCGCUCCGUCAAACGUUUUGAAAAGUGAUACGCUUAAAAAUCAUAGAGAUCAUAAUCCACUCUAUAGAUUUCAUUCUCUCCCUCUCUUCCCCCCUCUCUUUCUCUCUCUCUCUCUCUCUCUCUUUCUCGUUAUCUGUCUCGUGUUAUCUUCCCAUUGUUGACCGAGCAUCGUUCCUUACUUUUGUAAGCUCGUCAGCAUCGCGUCGGCGAGCGAACGAUCGAAAUCAGUUAGUCGUACGUUUAUAUCCAGCGGACGCGGAACGAGAGUGAGCGAUCCAACGAAUGCCUGAUGCUGGAUGAUAUCCGCGUGUGUGCAGAAAGAGAGCGAGUCGAGAAGAGACAUUAUUUCUCUGUAGCUUCGCGCAAGUCGUAUCCGUCUGUAUACUUGUACAUAAGAUUCGCCGGACCGCGGUCGUCGCGCACGUGAAUUAUUUGUUCGCGCGCGUACGCGAAUUGUCCCUCGCGAGUAGAAUUUGUUUGCGCGAAUAAAUCCAAUAGCAAGCGGUUACAUAUAACUUUAAUUCCCGAUCGGGCGAGGAGAGCACGUGCGUAUAUGCGUGCGUGUGCACGCGAGAGAUCCACGUAGACGCAAUGCGGAAAGAGAGAGAGAGAGAGAGAGAGAGAGAGAGAGAGAGAGAAAGUUUCCAAUAUUUAUAUCAUUGUCCUGCCACCGGGGAAUCUGUGCUGGCGUAAUUAUAAAAUAAAUUCCGCUGUGCAACCAUGUUGCGCGAGGACGUUUAGCCCGUAGUUUUUUAGCCGAUUUUUCAAAGCGCGCGCGCGCAAAGUCACGAUUUUUAAUAUAACACGACUGACUGCUGGUUAAGUAUGGUUGUGAGCAAAAGUCCUGGUCUCUUCGGACAUUGUAGACACACACAUUACAUACUUACACACAUUACAUACAUACAUGCAUACAGAAAACAUCUUUCCAGUUCCCUUAGAUACGUACCCUGCACGAAAAGAAGAGCGAUUGUUGCAUAAGUGCUUAGGAUGUGGGUAUUAAGGCUUGUAAUUCGAAAACGACCAUCUCCUUUGCUCGAGAGAACUUUUUCUUCUUUUUUUUUUGUAUAUUUGUAAAUUGGUACGAGUAGAAAGAUCGGGCCAGGACCGAUAUAUCCUCGGUGUCUUUCAUUCCACGGCUCGUCGGUCGAAGAGCGGCGUAUACAGCGAUAAAUGUGGUCGUGCGUAUCUGUGAAAAAAGUGAGGCUGCGUAAUUAAUUAUCUUGUUGCGUAAAGCGAGAAAGAGAGGAAGAGAUACUUAUUGGAUGAUCGCGUGUUUUUCCCUCGUGUGUUGUGAUCGUUUAGCUGCAUACGUCGAUUCGGCGAUGUUGGAGAGGUGUCGAUGGGAGACUCCUGAGAUUAAGUUAAUCAGCACUAUAGUUUCUCGCGUAGUGAGGCUUAUGUGUAUACAUUUUUUGACUUACUAUAUGUUCGUACUGUUUUAAUGGACGAAUUGUUGAACAAUAAAAUCGCUGAUUGCUACGAUAACAAUAAA